GAACUGGCUAUCCUGGCCAUGACAGAUUGAGAGGCCAGCUGCCUAUCAGUACAGGAGCUCUUUGGAGAAAGGACUGGAGGAAGUGUUGAAAAGACUAAAACAUGAAUAAAUUUGUGACUGAGCAGGAGGUAACCGAGAGAGGUGUUUAUAAUGAGGUUGUUUCCCUCCUGGCACAUAUGGCUGACCAAAAUAAGAACAAAAUUGCCCUCAGGAUUGCCUCUAUAGCUAAGACCAAGCUGGCUAGUGUUGUGAGAGUUCUGCUGGAGAAACUGCAACAGGAUGAGUUCUGGAAAAAUGGUCAAGAGCAGUAAAUUUCUAUUUCACUAACUGGGAAAAG